rnacentral:rRNA from 1 species
UACGUAGGGGGCAAGCGUUGUCCGGAAUCAUUGGGCGUAAAGCGCGUGUAGGCGGCCCGGUAAGUCCGCUGUGAAAGUCGGGGGGCUCAACCCUCGAAUGCCGGUGGAUACUGUCGGGCUAGGAGUGCGGGAGAGGCGAGUGGAAUUCCUGGGUGUAGCGGGGGAAUGCGUAGAGAUCGGGGAAGAACAUCGGUGGCGAAGGCGGUCUGCUGGGCCGUUGCUGACGGCUGAGGCGCGACAGCGUGGGGAGCAAACAGG